AAUCCAUGCAUCGAACACUUCUAAAUUAAGAUUUUAAAUCGCUCCGAAGCUUCAUAUAGCGUUUCAUCCUCCAUUUGCCAAAAAGAUGUGAUGCCAUUUCUAAGUUU
rfam:Gossypium hirsutum cultivar TM-1 chromosome 2, whole genome shotgun sequence